AGAAUCUGGAUCUCCCCUGCUGGCUCUUUGAUCCCGAUGAUGGAAGCUUGUAGGACUCUAUUGGUCCCAGGAACGACAAGAAGCGCUGGAAACUUCAAGCAGCCAGACAUCACCUUAGACAUCCGACUUGCAGGGAGCAUGAGGCACAAGACACCUGAAGAGGAUUUGUGCAACUGUUGCAUUUUGCCCCAGGAUGUGGAAAUGAGAAGAUGAUGGCUCAGUAUUUUGUAAGCGCUGUUUAUUGAAGUGAACAAAUCUGUCUUUUUGUCUCUCUGGCCAAACAUGAAUAGGCCUCAAGAUUAUUUGACACAGAAACCUCUUUGUGUAUCACUGAUUAAUCAAUCGAUUGAUAUAUUUGUAAAUUCCUGUCAUCCAUGCUUAUCAAUUUGAAACAGCUGGCUGACACAUUAAACCCUGUCAUUGCAAAAGUUUAAGAAAUAGGGCUUGUGAGUAAAACCUGACUUGGCAGUUUUUGCUGGGCUGCUUAAAAUACCAGCUCUCAAUAAAUUUACCAUGGUAAAAUUGUAUGGUGCUAUUUAACCAUGAUGCCAUAGUUCUCCACUAUAUUUUGUACUCCUUA